rnacentral:rRNA from 1 species
AUGCAUGUCUAAGUAUAAGCACUUGUACUGUGAAACUGCGAAUGGCUCAUUAAAUCAGUUAUCGUUUAUUUGAUUGUACUUUACUACAUGGAUACCUGUGGUAAUUCUAGAGCUAAUACAUGCGAAAAAUCCCAACUUCUGGAAGGGAUGUAUUUAUUAGAUUAAAAACCAAUGCGGACCUCCGGGCCCGUUUUCUUGGUGAUUCAUGAUAACUUUUCGAAUCGCAUGGCCUAGCGCCGGCGAUAUUUCAUUCAAAUUUCUGCCCUAUCAACUGUCGAUGGUAAGGUAGUGGCUUACCAUGGUUAUAACGGGUGACGGAGAAUUAGGGUUCGAUUCCGGAGAGGGAGCCUGAGAAACGGCUACCACA